rnacentral:lncRNA from 1 species
UUUGACUUGACUCAAUUGAAUUGGAUUGAAUCAAUAAGUUAGGUUUAUCCAAAAAUUUGAGUCCCUCCCCCCCCUCUCUCUUACUUUCUUUCUUGGCCGAACCUAAGACUUCUUGGGUUUCCUAAGGGAUGAUAGGAGGGGGGGUUUGACGACAAGGCGCCAGAGUGGCCUGCGGUGGCGGCUCAGCGACAACCAAAGGCGGUGGUCCAACGACCGAUGACAGGGUACCCGAAAGUAAAAGAAGAAAAGGGGAUCUACCC